CAUCAGUUUUUGAUAAGUACAAACCAGUAGAGCUACAGUCUCGACAGAGACUUCUGGUUAUUUUUUCUUCCAUCCCGGUUGUUGCUAAUGCUAUUACAUAAUUAGUUUAAAUUAGAAUGCAAUAGUACCUGGACAUAAUUUAUCAUUUCAGAGAGAAGAAAACUGUGUGACUUUAAAAGAAAACCAGUGAGAUAAAAUCAUAGAAAAUGUAUGAUGAUUCAGGAUGUGGUCAUUUGUGACAUGAAAACAGGAAUUGUCAUCACCAAUAGACGAAUUUCACAUUCCUAAGAGUUUUCUCCAAUUGUCGGCGUAUCACUCAUUUUUCCCACUUUGUCCAUUGUCCUGUUCUGUGGAUGCCCUAAGACAGUGUCUACCCAUCACUCCAUCUGAUAUCACUUGUUCUGUGCAUAUCUCUCUCAAACUUAAACUACAGAGAGCCUGUGGAUAGAGGGUGAAGAGUGACCUUGGACUAAUUUUCUAGGUCAAAGAUCAUAGGUGAUGUGAAGAAAACCAGGAAACUGAUGUUGAAAGAAGUACUUAAUGACCUUUAUGAAUGGACUUAAAUGUGAAAGAC